AGAAGCCAUUCAUGGUGAGGUUAACACAGGAUCUGGCUGCAUCCACACUGAAGGACCGAAAGGCAUGGAAUACAAUAUUCUGGAAAACAAGGGAACUAGGUCUACAACCAAGAAUAAAAUACCCAUCAAAACUGACUAUAUUCUUACAGGGGAAAGUAUGGUCAUUCCACACAACAGAAGAGUUCCAAGCAUUCAUAAAUAAAAGACCAGACCUGAACAGAAAAUUUGAUGUCCAACCACAGAACUUAAGAGAAUCAUCAAAAGACUCAGGUCUAGACUUCCAGUCAAGAUGGCGGCUUAGAGAAAGCUAAAGUUCAGAUCUCUUGAAACACUUCCUUACCGAUCUCAAACCGAAUGCUCCUAUGCACCGAAAUUCAAAACGAUCAACAGCAUUGACCCUGGGAGUCCUCCUCCUGGACCUGGACCUGGAUCAAAAGGUAUGCCCCCCCCCCCCAAAAGCCAGAACCCGAGACCACUCGGACCUAAGGAGUAGGCAGAAGGAAGGUCCUAGGACCCAUCCCCCACAACCCAGAGCGCCGAGUUCGAGUCCAAGGUAGCAGAGGCAACCUCAGAGCCCCACAGCCUACUAUUCUGAAGGCCUCUUCCUGAAAACAACCUAACCCAGUCGAGGGGGCACUCAGACAGCAGGGAAACAGAGAGGGAUGGGGGAGCUCGAAACCCCCUGGGAGGAGCCCUCGGAGCUCCAGGAAGCCGGGGCCCCUCCCCCUCAGAGAACAGGGUCUUCUGAAACAACAGCAACCCUCAGGAUUGGCAAAAGGGCCUCGGGAGCCAGCUAUUCUGAAGGCCACAUCCUGAAAACAACCUGACCCAGUCGAGGGGGCACCCAGACAGCAGGGAAACAGAAGGAUGGGGGAGCUCGUAACCCCCUGGGAGGAGCUCUAGGAGCUCCAGGAAGCUGUGGCCCCUCCCCCUCGGAGAGCAGGGUUUUCUGAAACAACCAUAACCCUCAGGACUGGCAAAAGGGCCUCGGGAGCCAGCUAUUCUGAAGGCCACGAGGGGGCACCCAGACAGCAGGGAAACAAAGAGACGGGGGGGGGGGAGGGGGGAAGCCUGUAACCCCCUAGUUGGAUCCCUCCAUCCAAGUCUUAAUUCCCUGCCUCAGGGCACACUCAAUUCAACCCAGGGAAAGCUAAUCAUCUUAUCAGGAGCCCUUGCCCAGAGCUCCUGGAAGCCACGGCCCCUCCCCCUCAGAGAGCAGGGUCUUCUGAAACAACAGCAACCCUCAGGACUGGCAAAAGGGCCUCGGGAGCCGGCUAUUCUGAAGGCCACAUCCUAAAAAUAACCUAACCC
rnacentral:lncRNA from 1 species